UUCUAUUGAGGGAGUAGCUAUUAAUUCAUUUUGUGUCUGUUUCGUUUAUGGUUGUAUCAGUAUAAGCAUAGAAAAUUCAACGGCGUUAUCCAAUUGAUCUUCUUUUUUAUUAAAUCCUUAUGCACUAAUAUAUCUCUGUCCUCAAUUGCAGCUUGGAUCCAUCACCUGAGAAUCUUACAGUGAUUCAAUUGUAAAUUCAGACAUGGACAGAAUUUGGGUAACGAAGAUAUGUUCUGAGUUUCUACAACCAUUUUCUCCCCAUUCUGAACGACAAAUAAUCAGAAUAUCUCUGUCAUGGAGAAUCAGACGAUCAGAAUGGAUGACAUUAUGGAGAAAGCAAGAAAGAUAUUUCCCAUUCAGCUCAACUGGUGAUCAAAGGUUAGUUCAAAAAGUAUAUUAUAGAUUGAAACGUUAGGAAGGUUAAUCUCGUCAGUUCGUCUGAAUCAAACUUGCUCUUAAUGAUAGUGUAAAAUAUAGCUUAAAAGCGACUCAAAUCAACUUAAAAACUGAUUAA